AGGAAUGCGAUGGAGGCCGUCCUUCCCCAUUACUGCUUAGUUUUCUUACAAACCACUUUCUCCUUCACAAGCUGGUAGUGCGCUGGGGAAGGCCUGUGUAUGAAAAUAUUCAAUAGUUCAUUCAGUUCCAUCCCACAGUUGAUGUUGCCGCUCUUCCCGGCGAUCUUUAUGGAUGUUGUCACUCUCAUGAGGGGUUCCUGAUGUCAUGAUUGUUGGUAAGAUCGUUGUUAUUGCUGGGUACAGAGAUAUUGGAAAGGGUUUUUUUCUUAUGCAGUUCUUCUCUCAAGCUAGCUGGUGCCAUCACUGAAAUUGAUGUUGAAAUUUUUUGGACUUGUAGCACUUCUCUUUAAGAAAGCUUGAACUUAUAAAUUAGGAGUUGAAUCCUUUUGUAUGAUUUGGAGUUAAAUUUAUGAGUACAAUUUAAUGUGGAA